rnacentral:rRNA from 1 species
CCACGCCCUAAACGAUGAGUGCUAGGUGUCGGGAGUCAAAUCUCGGUGCCGCCGUUAACACAGUAAGCACUCCGCCUGGGGAGUACGCACGCAAGUGUGAAACUCAAAGGAAUUGACGGGGACCCGCACAAGUAGCGGAGCAUGUGGUUUAAUUCGAAGCAACGCGAAGAACCUUACCAGGACUUGACAUAUAUGAGAAAAGCUUAGAGAUAAGUAAUACUCUUCGGAGACUGAUAUACAGGUGGUGCAUGGUUGU